UUUCUGUUUGAUUUCUUUCACAGAUCGAAGUGGACCUCGGUAAAAAGUGCUGGUAUCAUUCGAUAUUUGCCUGCCCCAUCCUUCGUCAGCAAACAACAGAUAAUAACCCGCCUAUGAAAUUAGUCUGUGGUCACAUUAUAUCAAGAGACGCUUUGAAUAAAAUGUUUAAUGGCAGCAAAUUAAAAUGCCCCUAUUGUCCAAUGGAACAGAGCCCUGGAGAUGCCAAACAGAUAUUUUUCUGAAGAGAAGUUUCAUUAUGCAGUUUGUAAGUGACACUCUGGAUUUCAGGUGCAUUUCAGGAGAAUUAAAACACACUUGUUCCCUUUUAUGCAGCAGACUGAGGACUCCUGUGUUUGUAUAAGCUAAUGCUACAGAAACUUUGCCAACAUUUAGUAUAUACAUACCAAGUGGGAAUGCUACAGAAAUAUUAUUACCAUAGGGCUUUACUAUACUCUUGGUCUCCAUACCUGAUCAAGUUACUACACCAGCAGUUGUCAUUCAAUGCAGGUUUUUGUACUUAAUUAUACGGUGACUUUUUACUUUUUAAAGGCAGAAAUGGAUCCACCCCCAUUUGUUUAAUAUUCUUCCUGCUAUUAUUCUGUCAUUUUACUGAUAACUGUCAUCUUAGAGAAUGUUUGUGGACAAAGUUUUAUUUCCUGUAAUGUGUACAUAAUUAAAGGUAAAUACUUCAGAAAAAAAAAAAAAGUUUGAUAAAUUGAAUAGUCGUUAUAAAACUAAUUUGUAUUUUUUUCGCUGAAAAUGCUGUGAUAUAUUCCGAGUUUUUUCUUUCAAACAUUUUUUCAACUUUUACAUAGAAUUCAAAGUAAAUGUGCAUAUAUAUAAAGUAUAUAAAAUAUAUAGCCCCGAGGGGCUACUUGUUAAAAUCCAUCACUAAUUUAUAAGGGUGAUGUGUGGCUAAAGUACUACUGGGGCAGAGAGGGAACAGGAAAUCCUGUUCCUUUGGUUUCACGAGGGAGAAGUGUUUGUGUAAGAGAACCUUCAAUAAAUUCUGAAGUGGAAAUGCUUUUAGUCGAUGACAUUUGCUCUCUGGCCUUUGUAGUCACGUUCUUUGAACUUUGUAUUCAGGAUUAGGCUAUAAAUGUCAUGUUGCUGUAUAGUUUAAUAGUCAUUAUAGUGUGCUAUUUAUAAACAGUUAUCAAAACCAAA